GCAGAAAGCUUCUUUUCAGUUCAAGUCAAUAUCCUCUUGUGAAUCUCAGAUGUGGGGCUAAUUAUGUCUGUCUUUGAGCUUUAUAUGAUUACGGCGAUUAGAUAAGGUUCGACAGCGUAAAAAGUACAACAUGGAAUUCUCUCCCUCCUUGUCAAGAGCUUCUGUAAAAUCUGUAUCUUCCCAAUACUCCGUAGAAGAACUACAAGAAAAAAUUGGAGAGCUUCGGAAGCAACAUCGAGAAAACGUCGGGGAGUUUCUGAAAGUGCAAACGAUGCAAAGAGAGAGGAUGAUUCAAGGAUUGGAAGAAAAACUCGCCGCCCGGAGGGACAGGCGAGAACGGAAAGUCGAACAGAUACCGCCCGUGUCUAUCUAGCACAAGGACAGAUCGUGACCUGGGGAAAAUCGCUCUUCGUUUUCUUUUCUUUUUUUUUUUUUUUUUUUUUUUAUUCUGAAAAUCGCAUUGCUUAGAAUGGGGCUGAUUUUAUUGAACAGCAUGGAGCUUUAAUUUCCCUUAGGAUCCAAAAACGAUUUAAAAUCGAAAUGAAAAAUUUCUCAAAGUAUUGAAAAUGGAUUGAUGAUGGUGAAAAAAUAAAUUGUGAGUAUUUUUUACUCUAGAAAUAGUUUAUUAUGGAUAGUUUUCUCACGAAGCAUGUUAGAUUUUACUAUUACAAUUUAGUUUAUAAGGAAGUUGAAAUCAGAAGAGUUUGCUGGAAUCUUUUACCAUAUAUUUUUCGUCCUUAUACAAAAAGACAUUGCGUUUUCAGUUUCUAAGAUAAAAUGUUAUAAGUAGAGCUUACUAUGGAUGUAUUCUUUAUUUACUUUAAUUUUUUUUAUGAAACAUGUAAAUU